rnacentral:rRNA from 5 species
GAGAGCAAGCGGACCUCAUAAAGUGCGUCGUAGUCCGGAUUGGAGUCUGCAACUCGACUCCAUGAAGUCGGAAUCGCUAGUAAUCGUGGAUCAGAAUGCCACGGUGAAUACGUUCCCGGGCCUUGUACACACCGCCCGUCACACCAUGGGAGUGGGUUGCAAAAGAAGUAGGUAGCUUAACCUUCGGGAGGGCGCUUACCACUUUGUGAUUCAUGACUGGGGUGAAGUCGUAACAAGGUAACCGUAGGGGAACCUGCGGUUGGAUCACCUCCUUACCUUAAAGAAGC